AUGCUCAGGAUGCUCAGGAUGCUCAGGAUGCUCAGGAUGCUCAGGAUGCUCAGGUCACCGCUCAUUCAUGUGGUUCAUAAAUUUGGUUUUAUAUAAUAUAUAUAUAUAUAUUAACUGUGUUUACAUUAAUACCUUAAAUAUUGAUGUGCUUUUAAGGCCACAAGGAGAAGCCUUCAUCAAGUUUGUCAACAUGAAUGCAGAACAAGCAACUUGCAGACUCUGAGUACACACUGAGCAGUGGGGAUGUGGAGAUACUCUCUGGGAGCAGUGUCCUCAUCUGUCUGUCCUGGAGUGAGUGCCUGCGUCCUCUCUCCUCAAACACAUCCCUGUACCUGGGUCACACUGCCCACAUUUUAGCAAAAAGAACAGUGUUUAUAAAUGAUGUACUCACAACUACUGCACUGUAUUCACAGAAAUACUUUACACUACUAGUGUAUAUGUCUUCCUCAAUGAUCGAACUGUGUUUUCCCUAGCUGAAAAUUAGGGUUACAGUAUCUUGGCAGUUUUUCAACACAUUUUCUACCAACUUUUCUCGUUAUGGAUAUUAACCCAUUCUAUUAAACGGUGAAGUUUAUCCAGUAACUUUCUGAGAGACGAGGGAGUGAAGAGAUUUGUGGAUUCUCUGCCAAGGCUGCGGAUUGCUAGCUCAGUGAAGUAAGACUCAUUACAAUGGCCUAUCUUCCCUCAGUCCGUACAGUGAACUCCAUUACGGCUAGCGCUGUCUUGUUUCACCAAGAUAAACGUCCGUCAAUUUACCUCCUCUGGUUAGCCCCUAAACAAACCUUAUACAAUACUGUUUUAUCAGUGGAAGCAGAUGCAUCUGUUCUAUCUUUGUGGGGGUUAGUUGUGCUUUCUUGUACAGCUGUGUUCUGUUUUUAUCUGCAGUCUUGAUGAUAACAGACUCACUCAGAUGGGGGCUCUCUACAUUCUGAACACAAUGACGACCUGUGGAAAAAGUGGUUGAAGUGGAUGUAAGUUUGGGAACUGAGAAGAGGUCGCUCAUCCGCUUUGAACUGGACAGUGGCUGUGGCAAAACUCUGAGAUAAGACAACGAAAAGGCUACUUUCUGCUCAUCAAUUGAAUCUGAGAGAGUGUCAUUUUGGGGCUGACCAUCUGCAGAAACUAGCAGAGAUUCUGAAGAGCUGUGCUGCUCAGUUGGUCAAACUGAGACGAUCCCGCCGGUGAAGAAGCCGGAUGUGGAGGUCCUGGGCCGGUGUGGUUACACCUGGUCUGCGGUUGUGAGACCAAAUUCUCUAAAACUAAGUUGGAAGCAGCUUCUGGUAGAGAAAUGGACAUUCAAUUCUCUGGUUAUCCUGUAA